UACAAGAAAAAUGAUGAUAAGCAUGAAUCAAUUUCAGAAUGUAAAUAAAACAUUGCAAUGGACUGAGAUGUAACAAAUUUUGAAUGAUUCUAAAUCAUUAAUACAAUUUCUUAUUCUUUUUCUUUUCGUUUUUUGCACCAAGACUUGUCUUUUUUUUUUGUUAGUUUGUGUGUCAAUAAAACAAAACAGAACAGAACAAAGAUCAAGGUGUGAUAUUAGUUGCAACAAAACCAAAGCUUAAUUACUUGUAUAGGCUUUACCUUGAACAACAGUCAACUGCAGGAAUGUGGCUGCAUGUAAUGUAGAAUCUCUAAAGACAAAUUUAUUAUUUCUUUAUAUUUGACUUACCUUUCCAAAAAAGUAUGUGCCCGUUUCAGUGUUGUGUUUAUAAUGAAAGCCAUUUAAAUUAGCCUUCUCAUCUGCAGGUUGAGUAUGUCCAUCUUUUGGCGGUGGAAAUGAUGUGGAGUCGUUUGGUUGUCUCUCAUCAAUCAUCUAACUCCAACAACAUUCAAUACAGGUUACAAAUUUGAUCAGAAUAUUAAAUAUUAUGUUUAGAAUAUUAUGCAGAAGCCAAUGUGUACAAUAGACAUAGGAACUAGGAAUUAUUUUUACAAUUUGAAAGAAAUGUCGGCUACAUGAAAGCUAACCUCGGCAUAUAAUUUAUCUAGAAUAACAAGGGCAUGCCGAUGAAAGGCUCUCUCAGCAUCCACCUGCCAAAGUAAAGGGUUCAGAACAAUUGGCUUAAGGUUCAAAAACCAUACAAAGAUUAACUAGAAAUUAACUAGAAAAUAAUGCAACCAAUGCAUGAGUGAAACAAACAUUAGACAAGAUAUCUCAUUAUGCAUGGUGAAAACCAAUACCUACUUUCACAAAUAUUGCUAUUAUUAUUGGAAGUUAUUUUUGUAAUGACUAAAUUGACAAUAGGUGGAAUGCUUAACCAUGCGAAUAUGUUAAUGGCUAGCAAUACUCCUAUUUUGUUUAAAAAUACUUCUUAAGAAGGUCAACAAUACUGACUCAAAAGACUUUGAAAAAAUACCUGACGGACUACAACAUAAUCAUCAACGGAUAAACUUAACUCCCCUUCAGCUUGAGCGUCAAAUGGAUGUAUGACCUACAAGAAAAAUGAUGAUAAGCAUGAAUCAAUUUCAGAAUGUAAAUAAAACAUUGCAAUGGACUGAGAUGUAACAAAUUUUGAAUGAUUCUAAAUCAUUAAUACAAUUUCUUAUUCUUUUUCUUUUCGUUUUUUGCACCAAGACUUGUCUUUUUUUUUUGUUAGUUUGUGUGUCAAUAAAACAAAACAGAACAGAACAAAGAUCAAGGUGUGAUAUUAGUUGCAACAAAACCAAAGCUUAAUUACUUGUAUAGGCUUUACCUUGAACAACAGUCAACUGCAGGAAUGUGGCUGCAUGUAAUGUAGAAUCUCUAAAGACAAAUUUAUUAUUUCUUUAUAUUUGACUUACCUUUCCAAAAAAGUAUGUGCCCGUUUCAGUGUUGUGUUUAUAAUGAAAGCCAUUUAAAUUAGCCUUCUCAUCUGCAGGUUGAGUAUGUCCAUCUUUUGGCGGUGGAAAUGAUGUGGAGUCGUUUGGUUGUCUCUCAUCAAUCAUCUAACUCCAACAACAUUCAAUACAGGUUACAAAUUUGAUCAGAAUAUUAAAUAUUAUGUUUAGAAUAUUAUGCAGAAGCCAAUGUGUACAAUAGACAUAGGAACUAGGAAUUAUUUUUACAAUUUGAAAGAAAUGUCGGCUACAUGAAAGCUAAC
rnacentral:lncRNA from 1 species